AUAGCCUAUUUUAUUGCCAUGCUGCAAACAUACAACGAACAUAGCACAAUAAUUUUACAAUAUGUUCUGAUUUCUUUCAAUUUAAGUUCACACGCUAGUUUUAUAGAACUGUUCAUAUUGUUCUGCAAUCUUGCAAUGUUCAUAUUACUAACUUUUAUCUGUACAUUUAAAGAUUAUACAAAUUAUAUUCAUUCAAAUUUCAAAUAUGUACACAGUAGUCAAUACGUAUAUAUCAUACAUAUACAAUUAUACGUCUAUUUGGAUGCAGGAUUCGUACACCUAUCUAAUUUUAAAAAUUCAGGACUUUCAAGUGGUAUUUUCUCGUAUUCCCGGAGUUUUUUCAGGGCUAUUAUUUAGAAAACUGAAAAACAGCAAUUUUAGCAAUAAGUCGAAACGAUUGAUAUGCUAUGCUAUAUGCUAUGCGCAAGAGAGUAUUUAUAAUCAAUAGAUCUUACAAACGGAACAUUUAACAGUUUGAUUAAGCCAGUUUUCCACGUCAAGCGUACCGUACCGAAGCGUAUCAAAAACAUUUUUAAAUUUCAAAAUUUAUUGAAUGUUGAUUGGUUAAUACUUCCGUAGUACGCCAGAAAGUUGACUUGCGACGAACUUUUCAUUUUGAUACGCGAAUACCCCGGAAGUACGUGGAUCUGCGCAUGCUCACCAGUACGUUUCGGUACGGUUAAAGUGGAAAACUGGCUUACAGUGCGUCUACAGGAAGUGGGGCCACUUAGAGAACACUAACCAAUCGCAUUGCAGAACAAAAAGAAAAAUCUAAUCAAACUAAAAAAGCUCGUCCAAUCAAAAGAAAGAUUCAGGAAGCCAUUAACUACAGUGUUUACUUUUACCGUUUGACAUUCGUUUAUUUGUUCAAAUUGUUUUUGGCCUAUUGGUGAUUGGCUAAUGCGCCGUUUGUUGAUUUUUUCUAUUUUUGUUCUGCAAUGUGAUUGGUUAGUGUUCUCUAAGUGGCCCCACUUACUGUAGACGCACUGUAACUGUACUCACAACUACAAGUUUGAUUUUCCAGACAGUUUUUCAGCGGUCACCUUGAAGUUCCAGGACUAAAAUGAAAUUCCUGGGUUUUCCGGAAUUUCCAGGAAGUGUACGAAUCCGGCUGAUAGGACACUAGUCCAUCACAGGAUGCUUGUUUUGCGAAAACCAUGAAAAACGGAAAAUGAAAAACCUUAAAAGAGGUAAAGUUCUCAUUGAACUGCUCCCUGUAAGGCUGCAGUGUUCAGAUAUGUUUGUUGGGCACUUCUGUAGUCUCGUAAGUACUCACUGCUUUUCAAUUUGACUUCCGAUGGUGGGAACGUGCGAUGGACUAGUGACCUAUUGAACUGGUGCAGUUGACUCAAAUUCACUACAGGCUAUAAACAAAG